GGCCAACAGGUCUUCAUCUUCACCACUGAAAUUGCAACCGUGUAAACUCCACCCUGAGCACAAAGACAAGGAACACUAAAAAAUCCACCAUUGCUAAAGUACGUCCACGCUACAAACUCAACAAAUCUCACUCGAGCUAUUUUAGGAAACGACUACAACUCUGAAUCAUUAAUGAUGAAGCAAGGAGAUAAACGAACAAACCACCAAGUAGCUCCUUUUGCAUCAAGGGCAGAAUCAAAAUUCUAAAAAUUUCGAAAAUGCUAAUGAUCAGCGUGAAAAGUCAAGCUGGAUGUCCAACAAUCUCGAUCCUACGACUGCAGAUGAAGCUCGGCGUUGACUUCAAUCGGACGGCUUUCUUUCGUUCAGAGGCAGCGACUGGAAAUGUAUUUAUUUUUAUUUAAUAUUAAUUAUUUUUUCGUCCGCGGAUUCGAAUUUUAAAUUUGAGAAACAUGAAAUUAAAAAAAAAAUCAAAUUUCUUUUAAUUUAUGUGUCAGACCAAUCUUAUCACCGUUCUCUCACCCCUCUCUUCCAUAUCUUUCUUGAUUCUCACCCUCUCUUCCAUCUCCUUCUUCAUUCUCUUCAUCUCUUUCUUCAACAUCGGUCUCUCCCUCUUCCAUCUUUACCUCUUGCCAGCGAAGAUGAAGCCCCUUAAUGUAGGAAUCAGACUAAUCGUCGAACUAAUCUGCUAGUAGAUCCUGAGUGGGUGGAAGUUUUGAAGCUGGCGCCGGAUUUGUAGGCCUCUCUCCUAGUGCGGUGGAAGUUUUGAAGUUGGCACCGGGUUUGUAGGCCUCUCGUCCUCAUCCACCAAAAAAGUUACAUUCAUCCUCAUCCACCCAUACAUAAAUCGACGGUUAGAACCACCAAACCUUGUAACUUCUAGCAACGGUUGUGCCUUCCUCCAGCCUUGGUCUAUAUAUGACUCCUUUUUAGGUUUUUUUGUAAGGCUCUGAUAAGGUUAUUCCUCCUUUCUCGUAGUUUUCGAUGGCGAAGACUAACACAGGACUUGAUGUUUCCCCUCAUCGAUCUUCAAAAAGGCUGGCAGAGCUAUAACAAUCUCCAUUUGGGGUACAGAAAGGCUCAGCUAGUAAAAUCUAUAAACGAAAAAGGAAAGAAGCGUCCCCCCUUCAGAGCUCAGGGUAUGACUCUGACUUUGAAACGGCAUGAGUGUCUCUUCACCCCAAACAAAAAGUAGAUAAGUGCAUACAUUAUGUAUAUGAUAUGAUUGUGCUUCUGUUGAUGCUUCUUACCAGUACAAAAUUCCUAUGUUAUGGUUAUGUAUGGCUGUCAUACUAUAUUGCCUUAGUUAUGCGUGCUACGCGUAUCAGAUGCAUAUGAUAUUUAGAUGUUAUGGGUAUGUUUUAUCUAUGUUAUGUGAAUGAUUUGAUGGUGUUUUAUGAUUUCCAGGUGGCCAAAACUAAUCCGUUGAAGAAGGUCCAUGCUGAGAAGAAGGUCCCUGUUGUGAAAAAGGCCCCCUGACGAAUAUUAUCGUAAAAAAAAGAAGGGAAAUGUCACCCCUUUCCAUUGGAAAACAUGACCAUUGGUGGCUGCCAAUGAUCUCAUUGAAAAAACCAGACACGCUGCAUUAAGAUCUGUCUGUUCCUCACUCAUGCUGGCUUUCAAGGGCUGUUGCAGUUACAACUUGAGAUGAUUAACAAGGAGCUUGCACAGUUCCUCCUCCAACCUUUGAUCCUGAACUUGGUCUAUUCAAGUUCCCGGAUGAUCAGCUCCAGGACGUAAAGCCAGAGGACGUGCACCGUGUAUAUGGUCUACCCUCACAUAUAAGUCUAACCAAUGUGGAUGUCCAACAUUGUGGGCCAAGGGUGCUGAAGCAGUUUGAAAGCUUGACUGGUACGAAGAGCAAUAAGUACCAUACCAUUAACAUAGCUCAACUCCAAACUACAAUUAAGAAGUGUAAAGAUCCCACGGCUUACAUGAAGUUGUACAUGUUGCUUGCCCUUGGUUCGAUGCUUGUUGCCACAAAUACCUGGUGUGUGACGAUGAAGUUUUCCAAGUAUCAUCAUCUUGGCAAUGUCGAGAUCGCCAGCCACAACUGGGUGGCCCACGUCUCAAAUCAUCUGCUACGAGGUAUGGAGCACUACUACCGGAAUUGUAAGGCUUCCUAUCCCAGCGGGGACAUGAACUUCAUGGUUGUAAGUGUUGCAGGGUAGUUAUAUUGGUGUUUGUUUUAUGUUACCGUUGUGUUUUACCUAUGUUAUAACAAUGAUACGAUGUUGUUAUGUACAUGUAGACCACUAUUGGCCGAUUGGUUAUGCCUAAUAUCCCAUGUUAUUUAUGCGAGCUCCAAUUUGUAGACAUGGUUGAUCUUCCUGGUAUUGGUUUGAACGAGCAUCCCACUUGUUCGUACUAAGAUGAUGGCCUUGUUAGCGCAACAAUGAGAAGGAUAAGGACUCCCGACGGCAGCUGGUCGUUCAAAUUAAGGGACAGGGCAUCUCUUGCAGCUACUUAAAACAUGUUACUCUGACUUGGGCCCAAGAAAUUUUCGACGAAGGACCGAGUAAGAUUUCCAAACCCUUGGGGGUGACUGUGCAUUUGGGGAGGAGAUGAGGAUUAAAGGACCGUAGAAUGGACAAGUGGACGGUGGCAGCACAACUUUCAUCUUCAAAACUGGCAAUUAAUCCAUGGGUGUUAUUACAAUGUCCGGUUGAUGUUAUAUGCAUGAUAUGCUAUUAUCCUGUUACGUGCUAGUGAAAUGCAGUUCACGAGGAAUGUACUGUUCUUGUUGUGGUAUAUAUUACUUACGUACUUGAUAUGUACUAUUCUGGUGGUGUUAUGCAAUCAUAACGUACGUGGUAUGUGAGUUGUAUCUCGCUUAAUCUAACGAAAUAUGCGUACCAUGAUUGCAGCAAACAUUGUUAGCAUACAUUGUGAUGUUUGAGGUGCAGCGCAGGACAAAUGCCUUGGUAUCCUAUCAGGCAUCUCUGAAGGAGCAGGAGGCUGAUUUGUAGUUGCAGCUGGUUAGGAGUGCGGCUGUCCAGAACCUGUUAAGGGGGAAGGCCAAUGGACUAGUUGACAUGGAUUUAAGUGAUGACUCUAAAUAUGAUAGCAACAAAGAUUUCAUGGACGAUACCGAUAGUGAUGAUGAUGAUCGUAAAAAUGGUGACGAUGACGAUGAGGAAGACAAUGGUGAUGGUGGAAACAAUGACGAGGUUGGAAAUGUAAGUGAAGACGACGACGAGAACAAAAAUGAUGAAGAUAAUAUUCAAGAUAAUGAAGUCGAGAAGGAAAACCAAGAGGAGAAGGCUGGCGAGGAAAAACGGAAGGACAUGGGCGUGGAAAAACAGGAGGAGGCCAAUCCCGAACCAGUCGUUUUCGAAAAGCGGCAGGUGGAAGUUACUGGCCCCGUUAUAGGUUUGUUCCGGGAUCGUUUUAUCGUUGUUACAUCUACGCUUAUACAAUGUUAUUAUUUUGAUAUGAACAUGUUAUGGCUGUUUAGUAGGUGAGAAGAAGAUGACGGAUACUUCCUCCGAAGAUUCCUCAUCCGACGAGGAAUCUUCGAAGGAACAUAAUUAGUUUGAAGCGGUGACAGGAACAGGAAAAGAAGCUAUUUUGGAAUCAGUGGGUGAAGCGAUGAAGGAAACUCCGACUGGUAAACAGGUUGUGGUGGACUUGGUGGGUGAUUCGGAGAAGCCAACUCCGGUUGCAUACGACCGACAAAAGACUAGCAUUUACGUCCUCUCAAAGCGACUUCGGCAGGAAUUGACACUGGUGGUGAGCAAGAUAGUUACAUAUAUCCUAUCUUAUAUAUAGAUGUUAUUAUUAUGGGACGUCUAUGAUAUGAUUGUGUUACAUUUGUGGUACGCUUAUAACUGAUGCAGUGUUGGUUGAUAUCAACAGCUUCAUUAUUUGUGACUUCUCGGAAAAGGCAUGAAAGUCAUAAGUUUGAGUUAGAGACCGUCCAAUAUCCGAACCAGGUGCAUAUCGUACUAAUGGAUGCAUUCUGCCACCAGUUCAACAAGGAGGAUAUGCUGGAGAACAACAACAUAAUAACAAGACUGUGUGUGUUUGUUUCACUUAGUGUAAGUAUUGUUUGACUAGUCAAAGUUACCCAACAAUUUUUGUGUUUGGUGUGUUACGACUGUAGUAUGCCUCUAUUAUGUAGAGAAUCCAUAUGUGUUAUGAAAGUAGUCUGAUUCUAUUAUGUUACAAAGCUCAAUGUGUCAUGAAUAUAAUCUGACAGUUAUUCAUAAUACAUCUUAUUUCCUAUGCCUGUAUUCUAACUGUGUUAUUGCUUCAGACUGUUGCUAGGACAAAAGUUGAAAAUGAGAUUGAGUUUUCACUCACUCAAUCAAGAUUCCCUCAUGCUUUCAAGGACUUCUUGAAUGAUAAAUACCUCUAGGUUCUCGAGUUCCGUGUCCUAAAAAUGUAAGUAGACUGAAAUAUUUAACUAGUAUAUUCGUGGUAUGCAACUGAUAUACACUCUGUUGUGUUUACUGUUUAUCUUUCUGUGUUAGGUCUUCUUCCUAACACAUGGGGGGAACAGUCUGAAUCACUUCUAUGUGUUUGGGUUGGACAUGGAGAAGAAGGAAAAGUUUAUUUUGAACAGGCUUCCCUACAAGAAGGAUUUUGAGACAAAGCCAUACUACAAGCCUACUGGAACACAAAUAAUGCAAUACGCCAGGUCUUUCGUCCUUUUUAACACUAACAUAUCAAAGACUUCAAGUGGAGGGUGGUGUGUGCUCUACAAUAGCCGGACAUUCACAAUUGUGGCUUAUAUGCACUUAGUUUUAUGGAGCAUUACAUCGGUCGUUUUACAACAUACCAAAUGAAGUAGUGGGAUGAAGAGACCGUGAUAAUCAAUGACAGGCUCAAGUAAUUCUGUCGGUUGGUCCUCUCACAAUGGAGUCAAAUUUGUUCCCAGAUAUUAUCUAAAGCGGCGGUGGACGUCCUGGUAGCUGGAACUUCGACCAACCCCCCAAAUUAGAUAUAUAUGUUAUGGAUAUUUGUAUGGUUUGCUUGUAUACUAUUGUUUUAUGGUUAUGUUAUAACUACUUUCUGAAUAGAUUAUGUGUGUUAUAGACAUGAAUGAAGCUUCCUUGCUUAUAUUAUGCAACUGGUUGUCUGGUAGGAAAAUUUUUAUUAUGUACGUAAGUUGUUAGGAAUAGUGAUGUAUCUUUGAUAUACGCCACUUAUCACAAUGUUUUGACCUUGGUAUAGUAAUGUACUUGUAACCAUGGUAGUGAAAUGGUCGAGUCAGCAUGGGAUCGAAAAAUGACAUUAAAUCGUAAUCGUAGAAUCAAAUCGUAAAAUCGUAAGAUUUCACGACUUUAUAUAAUAGCAUAUUAAAUAAGAAAAUGCAUUAAUUUUAGAGUAAUGUUAUUAUUUUAAUUUUUACUUAUUACUAAAAUAAUCAAAAUCUAUCAAUAAAAUAAAUAUAUUAAAAAUAACACCUAGAUUUUGUUUUAUUCUAAGCCAAACCGAGUGAUUGAAAAUGAAAAAUGGACAAUUUUUCUUAGAAAGUAAAUCGUAAAAUACAUGAAAAAUCAUUGAUUUCACAAGAUUCUAAGAAUUAAAUCGAGAUUUUACCUGAUUUCACUAACCAUCGAUUUUGAGUGGAAUCAGAAUCGUUAGACAACACUAAAAUCGUAAGAUUUCAAGAUCUAAAUCGUAGAUUUCACUACUGUGCUUGUAACACCCCAACUCUUGUAACUGAAAAUAAAGAUAAAUAAAUUGUCUUGGGACGGACUCUUGACUUUGCAAGGGGUGGUUACUUCUUCAAUUCAAAUAUAAAUAGCCAUCUUGUACCAAAACAAGAAGAAACAUUUAAAUGCAUCAUGAUACUAAUUUCGGAAGCUGUCCCUCACGUGCAUUUAAAACCAAUGUCGGAACAAAGUUCCAAAUCACACGAUCUCACAGUCCUUGUUAACUUUAGCUUGGCCACUAAAACACCAACGAUCGCUCAUAGCUAGUCCCUGGCAACCUGUAAACAUCUCAUGGGUGGUUUGGGAUCAUUCCUCAUAACUCGCAAUAACGAUUACAAUCACCAAACACAUAAGCAAUAUGACUUAGACUCUUUCUAUAUCUUAGUUGGGAUCCCUUGCUCACAUAUGCUGACGAUUUCCGGUCAUUCACAUAUCAUUAGUGGCACAAUUCAUGCCCAUUUUACUUAUCAUUUGGUGGAAAAGUUCAUGCCCAUUUUCGCCCCCAUUCGGGGCCAUAUACACAUAGCAGUAGUACAAUAAGCACACACGUAGAUCGCUAGCAUACAUGCCCUAAUCUAGGUGAUCAAACAAUUCUAAUUAUUACACCAUUAACAUAUACUUGUGACCGAAUGAACAAUGAUUGAAUAACAAACCAUAUAACACAUAUCAUACCAAUCAGGUACACCGCCACAAUUAUCACAACCAAUGGUCAAUAAAUCACGUCCACUUGACCUUGUCACGUUGCCACUUUAUCAAAUAUCAAAGAAAGCAUAUUAGGAAAAUCAAUCAUUAAAUAAAUUAUUGCGAUGGAAUUUACCCCCUUAAACCAGCCCACCAUGGGUGAAUCGCUUUUGGUUCAAACUAUGCGUCUAUGGUCCAAGAAUCGAUCAAUUAUGUCACUUCCGUAACCGUCCGGGCUAAAUUGUAAAGACGGAGAAGUAUUUGGGCCACGGUUGUCCAUAUUUAUAAGUUAUGGUGAUGAGAGUUAUUACUAAAAUAUUAUGUAGUAACACUUAAAUAAUUAUAUGGGGACUGAAGAUGAACUUUACCAUCAUCUUCUCCAAUUUACAGGGACGAACUCCGGCGAUCACGCGUUUAUUCCGGCGAGCUCCAAUGCAUGUGGUUUUGGCCUGGAAUCGGAAAAUAGGAACACAGACAGCUUCCUAGAUCCAUCACGAAUCUAACAAGAUGCGCUAGGAACCAUGGGCACGCCUGAAGUCCUCAAGGCAAUGCCACAUCGGACGAUUGAUCGGAGGAACGAGAGAAAGUCCCGGGUCUGUAAUAGAGAAGAUUGAUAGUGUAGUUAACCUCGUACAAGUCUCUCAUAACUCUCUAGGCUCAGGAACGAGACCAAGAUUGCUUGAAUUUAGGAAUUCCAUGAUGGCAGCGGAGCUCGUCGGAGCAGAGAAGCGACAAAGGGAAAACUCGGUCCCGAGAGGUUUCUUUGUUUUGUA
rnacentral:lncRNA from 1 species